rnacentral:rRNA from 1 species
GACGAACGCUGGCGGCGUGCUUAACACAUGCAAGUCGAACGGAGCGAAUGAAAGCUUGCUUUUAUGAGCUUAGUGGCAAACGGGUGAGUAACACGUAGACAACCUGCCGACAGGAUGGGGACAACAUUCCGAAAGGAAUGCUAAUACCGAAUGAAGCGGAGGAGAGGCAUCUCUCCUCCGUGAAAGAUGGCCUCUAUUUAUAAGCUAUCACCUGUCGAUGGGUCUGCGUCUGAUUAGCUGGUUGGUGAGGUAACGGCUCACCAAGGCGACGAUCAGUAGCCGGUCUGAGAGGAUGAACGGCCACAUUGGGACUGAGACACGGCCCAGACUCCUACGGGAGGCAGCAGUGGGGAAUCUUCCGCAAUGGGCGCAAGCCUGACGGAGCAACGCCGCGUGAGUGAAGAAGGUCUUCGGAUCGUAAAGCUCUGUUGAUGGGGACGAAUGUGCGUGAUGCGAAUAGUGUCAUGCAAUGACGUACCUAUCGAGGAGCC